CUGUUUUGUUUGCUGCUUUAGCUCUUGUGGAUGAGUGUGUCCUUUUCCACCCUUCCAUUCCAGGUGCUGAUUUCCCGCUAUGGAAAUGCUCAUCACCAGCUGUGCCAUAUUAUGGCACAUUAAAGCGUCCGUUUGCUGCUCAUUUCAAUAAGAGCGGUUUUAAUGAGGAAACAUCGAUCCUCUCUGGUCUGAAUGAGACUGUAAUGAAAUAAGAGAGUGAGGGAUGGAGAAGAGUGGCAAUCACUGAUGAAUGUGCCGUCUCAUUGAAAUCGACGUGGUGAAAAGGCACAAGCCUCCCCUCACCAAUCAGCCCUCAUUAGUAGUGACACAAACAACUUCAUGCUGUUUUCCUACAGGUCAGCCGGAGAUGAACGAUGACACGGACCUGUGCACUCUCUCUCUAUGGGUCACCGGUGAAUUUAACAACAGCAAUCAGAGGCUCAUCAGAGAGUUUGUGAUGAGUUCAACCACAGGACUUUGAUGUGCUGCAGGUGGACGGGAGGUCAAAGGCAGAGAUACAAACAAUUUCAACCUCUCCUGAGAGCUGCCAAUGGAUCAGCAGCGGCUUUAACAAAAGUAGGGUGGGUCAACCUGUCACUCACAUGAGAUCGACCAAUAGCAAACCACAACCAUCAAAUCAACUCCCCAUGGACAAAAUCAAGUCCCGCCCUAC
ensembl:lncRNA